CGCUCAGCGACAGACCUGGGUCCUUUCACGCUUUGUCCUCCCUCUUUCUUUCGUUCUUGCUCGCGCUCUCUCUCUCUCUCCCUUUUUUAUCUUCCUUCCUUUUCCUACUCCUUGUUUCUUUCUCUCUCUGGCUUUUGUGCAGGGGGCCGUGACGAAUGGCUCAGAAAAGAGGGUGCUGUGAGAAACUGGAGCUGCGCUGGCGGAGUGGGUGCUCUUUCAUCAUCUGCCUGCCUCCCUCCAGCUUCCCCGUGGUUCCUCCAAGGCUCCUUUGUGGCCAUAAUCAAAGCCUGGUGAGUGAUGGCUGUUUGGGGGGAGGGAAGUAAAGGACAGCGGAGGGUGGCUCUCCCGCUGGGGGGCGAGGGAGUGUGGCCUCACCAUGGCCUGGAGAACUGAUGGGGACAGGGAUGAUAGGAUGCAAGGUGUGGGGUGCCCCCAGUAUGCAGCUCCUGUGGGCAUGGCUGUGGGUGGUGAUGCUGGGGCUGGACACAGCAUCCCUGGUUGGGCAACAUUGCCACACUGCUGAUGGGCCCAUGUGGCUCUGCUUCACAGUGUGAACAAACCUCCCAGCAGUGCUUCCAGGGAGUCAUUGGCACCGCCAGCCUGGCCUGACCCUCAUAAAGUCACUGAGUUUUUGUCAUGGGUUUCAAUAGGCGUUAGGCUGUAGGGCUCUGCCUUUGCCUGACUGUAAACUUUUAGGGGCUUUAUUCCUACCUACCACCUGGCAGAGACGAGGCAUGGUGCACAGGAGGAUGGCUUGGCACACCCUUCAAGUGCCUCCUGGACUGACCAGAUAAAUACAGGGUCUGUACCAAGACAACUCCUUGCUCAGGAGUGGCGGAGCUGGGAGGUAUGGGAACCUGCACCAGCACUGUGCUGCAGUGCUGCUCCUGUGGCCCACGGCUGCCAGCCCAAGUGCCAUGGCCAAGGGUAGGCUGGAAGCAGGGCCCUGUGCUUCCCAGGAAGGAGUCUGCACGCCCGUGGGUUAUCGCUGCAUCAGGGCUCGGUGACGGCGCUUCCCAAGAACACAUGUUCCCUCGUAAACCCGGGAUCUGCUUAUCUCAAAGGGCACAUCCGACAAUUAGCUUAUCUGCUGUGAAAGUGAGGAACAGCUUUAGUUAUCUGCCCGGCUUCCGCAAGCCAAAAAAAAAAAAAGGAGAAAGAGCCCCUGGAAGGACAAGGCACAUACACAGCGUCCUAUAAAUAAAGUGAGUGCAGUGAGUGUGCUGCAGACAGGCUCCAUGUGCUUGCAGUGGGAGCUGGAGAUGCCCCUGAGUUUUAAGGAUGCUUGUUGCUUCCUGGUGUCAAACGCUGCCUUCGGCUGCUGGCAGCUUUGCCAAACCGUUCCAGGCUGGGUGGUAAUAUUUCAGGGUGGGUUGUGGCUUCUGAUUAAAUUUUUGGGGAAAAAUCUUAUCCAUAGUGCCAGGCUGUUUCCAAGAGUGAGGGUAUUAGGAGAUGAGGCAUUUGUCCUUAUUUUGUUUUAAAAUUCUGCAAGAGCUUGAAAUUUGGCAAGUAGGGAAGGGAGAGAGGCUGAGAUUUGUCUCGUGUCCCUGGAAUAUACUCAAAUUUGACCAAGUCAGAACACUUUAUUUGGGAAAAAAUGCACUUAGCACACGCUGACCAUGGAAUUGGGCCCUGCUUGGAGGUGCAGGUUCCCCCCUGCAUUUCCCACCCUGGUGGCACUAGGGGACAUCUUGGGAUGUUGCUGCUUCUUCCCUGAUGCUGCUCUUUGCUUGACUCCACAGCAGCAUGGCAGUGCUGGCUUCAUGGCUGGCAGAUCAGUCUUCAUGGCUGCAUGAUGUGGCAGUGGCUGUGCUUGCUGAGCCCAUGGGAUCUGAUGGAAACCGUGGUUUCCCAAGUGCUUGCCCGGAGGCAGCAUGCAGACAGGUGUGACUGGGACUGGAGGAGCUGAGGACGGAGGAUCCCAGUGGAGGACUGGCUGCUAUGAUGGUGCUGGGGCAAGGGACAGAUCUGUCGCUGAGAGCACAGGAGAAAGCAUGGUGGAGUGGCUGGAUGUAGGGGAUAUCCUGCCUGCACACCUCCAUGCCAGCACAGAUUGACCCUACACAAGGACAGGCAUUGUCCCCAGGCCCUCGUGGGAUGCUGGUGGCACCAGAAUGGGACAUGCUACCCUUGCAGAGAUGUAGGGGGGACCAUGGGGAUGCUGGAGGACAGAGUCUGGGGCCUGGGGAUUUGGGCAGCAGCUGAAGUCCAGAUAAAGCCAGGCUGGCUCUGAGGCAGUGAGGGUUUCCUGGGGGUCCCUGAGGACUUCCUCCCCCACAGCCAGGUGGACAUUGGCAGCAGGACUGAGGGCUGUCCUGGCAUUGGCAGUGGUGAUGGAUAAGUCCCACCACCUGAAACACCUGACACAGUGUCUGGCUUGGGUAUGCAAGGGCUCAUCCCAUGGAUCACACCCCGCACCAUGGCUCAGAUCACAGUCAUGCUUGGCAGGGGCACAGCUGGAUGUGGUGGAGUUUGGGAUGGCUCCCUCCUUAAUCCCCUUCCACCCACAUGCAGUGCAGUGCAUCCACUGCUCUGCCAUGCUCCUGCCCAGCCCAGCCCUGCCUGCACACAGAGACAGCACCAUCCUGCAUCCCUUGUGGACAGGAGAUGGAUGGAUACACCCUGAGCACGCACAUGCUUCCUCCCCUGCACCUUUUCCCUCACUCUUGGCUCAGCCUCCUCUCCUCUCUCUGCCUGGCAGCCGGGCUCCGUGUGGCCCCAUGCCAGCUGAAACCUAAUGUCCUCCUUUCCUUCCUCAGGGAUGCAGGGGACCUGCUGGCAAAGCUGGGACCCAGGUGAUGGCAGAGGGAGAGGAGCCUCUUGAAGUCACACAGGGACCACACACCCCAGUAGGACAGGCUCUUGCCUCUGUGGCCAGGUGCAUGGCCCAGCCAUGGGGACACAGCUGAACCCCAUGCUGGCCCCUGCUCCCCCAGCCCCUGCUGCAGGAGUGGAGCUGCACGAUGUGUAGCUGAGCCUUGGCAGCAACCCCACAGUGGCCAGGAGGGGACAGAUGGUGUUCGGACGCACAGAGGACACAAAAGCUGUCCUGGUGCUGUGGUCACCUGAGCUGGGGGCAGCUGCAGGCUGGCAAAUGGCCUGGUUGCCUCUUGCUGAGCCAGCCCUGGGCAAACCAUGGGAUGUAUGUGACACCCGAAGGGCUGGUAUGUUCCUUGCUGGUCCACUGUGGCUCCCAGCUUUCCAGCACAUCCCAUCUUGCCACGGGAUGUUGACUCGUUGCCACUCUGAGCCUUGUUCCUGCUGGCAGCAUUGCCAGUUGCCUGUCCCCAUCCGAGCUCCCAAAAGACAACAUACUGCUUCUCUUUGUGCCAGCGAUGAGAGAAGCUCCUGCCACCAACCCCUAUCCUGUGUGUGCAAACACACGCAAAUAUGUUCCCAUGGCCAGUGUGCCAGCUCCAUCCUGCAAACACCUGCUGGUCCCCUGCAAAUGCAACACAUGUGCUGCAGCCUCAGGGCACUGGGACUGGGCUGGCAGGCGGCUGGAGACAGCAGAUCUUCAGGCUGUGUGCCCGAUCCAUUCCCUCCCUGUGUCAGGUGACAAAACCUAAAGGAAGAUUUCAGGGCGAGCACAUGGGGACCUCAUUUGUUUCCCCAAGGAGAGAUUGAAGCAGAGCACAGAAUCCAGCUCUGUGUUGUGCAGAGCUGCUCGUAUCUGCCGGCUCCCAUUUGUGAGUGCUCACAACUUGGCACACCUGUACACCAGAGCCAGGGACACAGAGCGGGGGGAAA